CGUCAAACCUGUCUUGACUGCUCCGAACUGCUGGGUUUGUCUCGUGCGGAUGGAAUCUCAAUCUUUCUUACCUACACCUCAGAAAGGAAGCACUUACAAGGGUGAAUAAAAAAAGGCCAGUGCAGUCUCUAGCAAAUACAGCUCUUUAAUGAAAUCUCCAGAGGAAGAAGAGAGAAUAAUUUUCAUGACAAUUAGAAGAUAGACAGAGACUGAACAUCACUGGAGGCAAAUAAAUUGCUUAGAAGACUUUGAAAAAAAAGUCCAAAUGAGAGAUGAAGAGCACCCAAACCAAGAAACUGGCAGUGCUCAUGGAGAGCAAGAGGAUGUGAUACAGAGAUCCACAUUAGGUGUCUCCUCAUCAGAGAUUACUAAUCUUAUAGUCCUUAAUCAUCUCUCAAACUUCAGCUUAAAUCUCAGUUUCCAAAGAAGGUGCAUGAUACCACUGUGAACACAAAACCAUGACUUCAAUUGAGAACAGGAGAAAAAUCCCCCUUCCAUUCCAAGACUUCAUGUGUGAAUAAGACAAAGACUUUGUACUCUUUGCUGAUUUUUUGACAAUAGUUAUACACAACUGUGACUCUUGCCACUAAAAGAUGCCAGUGUCCUCUGAAUAUCAAAUUAAAAAUUUAUGCACUUUCAGUAGAAUUUUUCUGUGAAGUAUGUUUUUAUUUUAACUUUAAAAAUUAG
rnacentral:lncRNA from 1 species